rnacentral:lncRNA from 1 species
CUAGAAUAUACAGGGUCAUGCAGAUAAAUCUGGAAAUAAUUAAUGCAGGAAUUUGCGCUAUUUCCGGUUGGGCGGAAAUUUGGCUAUACUUGCAUGUGUCAUGGUAGUGACCUUGGUAGAGACUAGACAUUCACAAAAUGGCUGCCGCGUCAUCAGCACCUGCAGAGCACGAUCAGAGAGUGGCUAUAUUCGAGUCUCUUCGCACCGGAAUGUUGCCACGAGAAAUAAUCGAGUGGUUCGAUUACAAGAAGAUGCAGGUUUAUGACCUAGCGAAGAGGUUUAGGGAGUCUGAGAUGGAGGAAGUCAUUCCUGACCGGGUCAGACAUCGAAAGCAGUCUGACUGUAAAGGCGGUUUCACAUAGCCAGCGA